rnacentral:rRNA from 1 species
GAUCCUGGCUCAGAAUCAACGCUGGCGGCGUGCCUCAGACAUGCAAGUCGAACGAUUAAAGCUCCCUUCGGGGAGUGCAUAAAGUGGCGCACGGGUGAGUAACACGUAAGUAAUCUACCCUCGGGUGGGGAAUAACAUCGGGAAACCGAUGCUAAUACCGCAUAAUGCAGCGGCACCGCAAGGUGACAGUUGUUAAAGAUUUAUUGCCUGGGGAGGAGCUUGCGGCAGAUUAGCUAGUUGGUAAGGUAACGGCUUACCAAGGCUACGAUCUGUAUCCGGUCUAAGAGGACGGUCGGACACACUGACACUGAAUAACGGGUCAGACUCCUACGGGAGGCAGCAGUCGGGAAUUUUGGGCAAUGGGGGAAACCCUGACCCAGCAACGCCGCGUGAAGGAUGAAGUAUUUCGGUAUGUAAACUUCGAAAGAAUAGGAAGAAUUAAUGACGGUACUAUUUAUAAGGUCCGGCUAACUACGUGCCAGCAGCCGCGGUAAUACGUAGGGACCAAGCGUUGUUCGGAUUUACUGGGCGUAAAGGGCGCGUAGGCGGCGCGGUAAGUCACUUGUGAAAUCUCUGAGCUUAACUCAGAACGGCCAAGUGAUACUGCAGUGCUAGAGUGUGGAAGGGGCAAUCGGAAUUCUUGGUGUAGCGGUGAAAUGCGUAGAUAUCAAGAGGAACACCUGAGGUGAA